rnacentral:rRNA from 1 species
UGUAGCACACAGCUCAGUAACACGUGGCCAACCUGCCCUUGGGACGGAAACACCCCGGGAAACUGGGGCUAAUUUCCGAUAGGUGAAGACUCCUGGAAUGGAUUUUCGCCUAAAGGGCGCUUAGGGCAUGCUUCUAAGCGUUGCCCAAGGAUGGGGCCGCGGCCGAUCAGGUUGUUGGUGAGGUAACGGCUCACCAAGCCUUUAACCGGUGCGGGCCGUGGGAGCGGAAGCCCGGAGAUGGGCACUGAGACAAGGGCCCAGGCCCUACGGGGCGCAGCAGUCGCGAAAAUUUCGCAAUAAGCGAAAGCUUGACGGAGCUAUCCCGAGUGCCAUCCGCUGAGGAUGGCUUUUCCCUAGUAUAGAUAGCUGGGGGAAUAAGGAGAGGGCAAGUCUGGUGUCAGCCGCCGCGGUAAUACCAGCUCUCCGAGUGGUGGGGAUGAUUAUUGGGCCUAAAGCAUCCGUAGCCGGCUGGGCAAGUCCCCUGUUAAACCCAACGAUUUAAUCGUUGGUCUGCGGGGGAUACUGCUUGGCUAGGGGGCGAGAGAGGCCGUCGGUAUUCCCGGGGUAGGGGUGAAAUCCUAUAAUCCCGGGAGGACCACCAGUGGCGAAGGCUGUCGGCUAGAACGCGCCCGACGGUGAGGGAUGAAAGCUGGGGGAGCGAACCGGAUUAGAUACCCGGGUAGUCCCAGCUGUAAACGAUGCAGGCUAGGUGUUAGGGCGGCCACGUGCCGCUCUAGUGCCGCAGGGAAGCUGUUAAGCCUGCCGCCUGGGGGUACGGCUGCGAGGCUGAACUUAAAGGCCA